CUCUGGUUAUUAAUAGCUUCAGAGCACAGAUGCUGGUUAAGUUACAGACCCGCGAGCAUGAUGGGUAACUGACCAGAUAAGCCCUGAAGUCCCCAUCAACACCAUCCCUACCACCUUGAUGGGGUCUUCUUACAAGCGGCCAGAGCAGCCCCUGCUGGUGUCAGGAGAAGCCCCAGUAGAGAUGGAAGGGCAGAACUGAAUCGGGGAGGUUUCAGCUCACAUCCAGAGUGAGAAGAUGCACGUUGAACCCUGUACCCUACAUUACUUGCGCCUGGAAUUUAGGUGAGGGCUGCACGACCCUGGGACUGUGUGUGUCACAUUCGUGUCUUGACCCCAGGACAUAACCCAAGGCCAGACACACAGUAGGUAUGUAUGAAAUGUUGGCUGAAUGAAUGAAUGAAUAGCACAGCUAUUAUCGAGAAGAUUACUGUGCCUGGCAGGUGGGGCAGCCGCCCGUGUCCCACUGCCUGGGUUCGACCCUGGCUCUGCCCCCUACUGGCUGGGCGACGGGGAGCCAGUUACUCCCACCCCAGGCUGUCUUGGGGGGCCCCCUGGGACCCCUGCAGAGCCCUGCUGAGUGGGUGCAGGGGCCAGUAAUGGGGUCAGCGCCGGGGAGGGAGGGAGGUCUCCAGGCGUUCCCCAAAGCAGCCGGGGUGCAGGAUGGAUUCUGCCCACUAAUUCCACAUCGUCCACUCCCCAGGGCCCCUCCUGCCGCCUCCUCUCUUCCUGCUCACACCACCUGCUGUCCUCCGGGCUGUGGAAGGAGUUACAACCCCUCCACUCUCCUCUCAGUCCCGGGCUCAAGUUUAUGAAUGAGGGGGCCGCCUACAAGUGACCGUUGUGGGUAUUUAGUGAGCACUUAGUUCAUUUACGAGGGCCGGCCAUGUGGUAGGUGCCACGUAAGUAUUCCGGUUAGGGUCACAUGUGACUCUCAGGGGUGAGAGGGGAGCGUGGACUUUUCAGUUUAGCUCUUACACGACACACCGUAGUCAGACCCGUCUGUCACCACAGAUCACAGCGGGUAUUUGCCGAACACCAUACUGCCUUCCCUUGUGGUUCAUUUAUGGUCUCACAUGCGUUGUUAGUUUGAGCCACGAGAUAAGUCUGUGGUAUUAUUAGUCCCACUCUACAGAUGAAGAAACCGAGGCACACCAGGGAAAAACUGACAAGAAAGAGACUAGAGGCUGCCGCAUCUGACUUGACCCUUAUCUUCACCCCGUGUAAACAACAGCAGAGGCCUGUGGUUCUGUGGGUUUGAGGAAAGGCCUGGAGUCCCACUGGAGACAGACGGUGUGUAUUCAGAAAGACUUGGUGUAUAUGGGCAUUUGGGGAUACAGGCACAUCUGCCUUACAUAUGCAUAUAUGUAAUACGCGCUCCGUCCAUCUGCCAACUUCAAACAGUUCCCCUCUCUCCUCGGCCCCACGCGAUCCUGACAGCCAGCUGCAAGUGGGGACUUGGCCCCCAGGGUCCUCGACCCUACUCCUUGCAGUGCUCAAUACCUUCUGUCAAAUCUUCUCUCUCUGAUCUGUCGUUCCCCCAGGCUGCAGAGGGGUCCCAGAAAAUCUAUGGAAACUCUUCCAGCUUGAGGGCUCGUGGCUGUGAACAAUUAAAAUGUUCUCUCCCCUUCCUGGGUCUUACUGCUUUAAAAUCCCCAUCAUGGGGCGCCUGGGUGGCUUGGUUGAGCAUCUGCCUUCGGCUCAGGUCAUGAUCCCAGGGUCCUGGGAUGG